rnacentral:rRNA from 1 species
GACGAACGCUGGCGGCGUGCCUAAUACAUGCAAGUAGAACGCAGUUGCGAAAGGGUGAGUAACGCGUAUGUAACCUGCCUCAUAGCGGGGGAUAACUAUUGGAAACGAUAGCUAAUACCGCAUACUGUGGGAUGGACCGGCGUUGUAUUAGCUAGUUGGAGAGGUAAAGGCUCACCAAGGCGACGAUACAUAGCCGACCUGAGAGGGUGAGCGGCCACACUGGGACUGAGACACGGCCCAGAGUCACUCGGGAGGCAGCAGUAGGGUAUCUUCGGCAAUGGCCGGAAGUCUGACCGAGCAACGCCGCGUGAGUGAAGAAGGGUUUCGGCUCGUAAAGCUCGGUUGUUAGAGAAGCGGUAACUACACAGAAAGGGACGGCUAACUACGUGCCAGCAGCCGCGGUAAUAC